ACCUCACAGAGAUCUGCCUGACUCUGAGUGCUGGGAUUAAAGGAGCACUUCGAUUGCAGACAGACACUCCUGGUUCUGGCUUUCUGUGGGCUGUGGAGAUUAUAGCUCAGGCCCUCAUGCUUGCUUGAACUCCUGAUUGUCUGGGGUGACAGGCGUGUGCCACGGUGUCCAGCAAUCAGAGGGUUCUCAAUGACAACAGCAACAACAAAUUCCGGCUUGCUGCUGACAUCUGCCGGACUCCUACGCUCAGUGGUCUCAACUCCAUCACACCCGAUACACAUUUAUAACAAAUGUUUCACAAC